rnacentral:rRNA from 1 species
UGCUGCUGGAUCAUUACCCACGU